GGGGCAGAUCGAGGAUUUAUC
rnacentral:misc_RNA from 1 species